AGUUUUUCCGCUACCAACCUCAGAUGCUAGAUAUGCUGUGGCAAUGUCUCAGACAGCCACAGAGAGAGAGUGAGGUACUGCAUGUGUGCUAAUGAACAAGAAGAGAACUACAGGAACUGACAGUUGGAGGAGUGUGAACCAUAUUCACGAACACUCACACUUUCACACGCUAAACUACAAUGCAUCAAGCAACAGACUACACUCUCCUGGGAGCAUCAGGAGGGACAUCACCACCUGCACUGCCCAUCAAACAGCGCAGGUAAGAGAUGCUAGUGUUAUGACUUGACACGCAUUUGAGCUGUGUUACAGGAAACCUCAUACCACGAAAGUUGCUCGCGUCGCUCAGUGUAGUGAAAUAUCACAUAAGUGAAGCAGGUCAGGCCCAGUAACUUCAUGUUGUAAUGUUUCUGGAUUUCUGUAAUUACGUAUGUGCACAUUUUUAGGAGCAGGUCUUCUUCAAGCUCCAUCCAAGAUCUAGAGCUGAAGAUGGGAGAUCUACACUUGCCUGGACCUCAGACCCCAGUGUCUCCAUUUAGUGAAGUAUUCACUCCUACUUACUGUAAUGCAGUCCACUGUCCAAUACAUCAUCGCUACGAAAAUCACCAGGUGAGAUUCUUCUCACAUGAAAUUCCUCCUCCAGUACCCAAAAAGAGUCUGACGAGAACCCUAUCCCUUCCAGCGGAGACUCUGGACCCACCUUACCAUGAUCAUACAAGAACCUGCAACUAUGAAAAUCCCCUAUACAUGAUAGCACCAUUCCAUGACACACUUAAACUACAAGAGGAAGAGGUACAAGUGGAGGAAUAUCAGGGUUUGUCCAUGCACAAGGUGACCUUUGAUACACCAGAUGAGCAACUUCAAAGUGUCUUCAGAAGCUUCCACAGCCAUGAGCAAUUUCCCAUGGGCAUCCAAGAAUGUUAUCUUCAGUUUCUCAAGAACACGUUGCAGAGCAUUGAAUCGAGCCUCUUCCUAAAUGAACAGGAAAUGGAGAUAGCAAAGACUUCUCAGCCUAAUGACUUUAUUUUGUGUGAGCAGCAGUGGACUGAGAUGGAUGCUUUCUACUUGGUGUGUUGUCUGAAGGUUCCUGGGAAACUGUUUUCAGCAAAGGUUCACAAAGGGGAUUCAGUAUCAGACUGCACCAUGUCUAUGCCACAUCCUAACGUUGAGCAAGGCUUGGUCCAUUUUCCACAAUGUACAGCUACAGAUCAAACUUCCAUCUCACAGCAUGUUCAGACAACUCCAGAGCCUUCACAUGGGGACACCACUGAAGUAUGCCAACAGAAAACAGUUGCUGAUCUUCUGGAGAAUGGUGUUAGUGUGACUGUGGUAAGAGACUUUCCAUUGGGAACACUGGAGGACUUUGUUGAGGAAGGACACUCUUUGCACUCCACCCUUCCUGAGGUUUAUGAGAGGAGGCUUUGUCUUCUUGCCCUCCAGUUGGUACUAGGACUACAGCAACCGGGACGUUUUAAAGUCAUUCACAGGGAACUGAAACCACAGAGUAUUACAUUAGUGUGGCCUAGUAUCAUGCGCAAAGUGGCUGACUCUAGGGAUUACCCUAGUAAGAUGAAAAAGGGAAGCAUGAAUACAGACACUUCUACAGGUACACCUGUGAUCACAGUAUCCACAGAGCAAACAGACAACGAGAGAACGAAAACCUUAUGGGAGAAGUGGGGCACCCCUCGUUUGGUCCUGAAGAGCCAUUUUGAGGAUGAAGUUUUGCAAGAAGCACCAUCCCAAGAGUUCCAGUUGGGGACUUUGCUGAGGUACUGCCUACAUCUCACCGACAGUUGCUCAUCUGUGUGGAAGGUGCCACAAGAC
rnacentral:lncRNA from 1 species